UACGGGGUAGAGCAGCCGGUAGCUCACCAGUCUCAUACGCUGGAGGUCGUCGGUUCAAGUCCGACCCCCGUUAUCCA
rnacentral:tRNA from 1 species